CGCGGGGUGGAGCAGUCUGGUAGCUCGUUGGGCUCAUAACCCAAAGGUCGCAGGUUCAAAUCCUGUCCCCGCAACCA
rnacentral:tRNA from 14 species